UGACUAACGGCGCCUCCUUCUCAACCUAGGCCCCUCCUUCACAACCUAAGCCCCUCCUGGCACGUGACUAACGGCCCCUCCUUCUCAACCUUUGAGGCACGUGACAUCCUGUUUCCGGGGUAGCAGUUCUGUCACGAUGGAGAAACACAUCACACACUUACACCAUGAUGGGAGCCCAAAAGUGUAUAUUUGUAAUUCUGGCAGUUAUCACUGCCCGUUCUGCCAAUACCAGGGUCAGAGGCUUCAGGUGGAAUACCAUGCCAAAAGCCAUUCUUCUGUGAGGCACAGAGAGUUCACAAUUGUUAAGUGUGGCUUAAGCUGCAGAACAGCAAGCCAUUUUCAUUGUCUGUAUUGCUCACAGACCAUAAUUAAUAGGGGCCAUUUUUUACGGCAUGUCUAUUCACAUGAGCCAAAUGCUGUGACUGUAGGGCGACUAACAGCACCUGCCCAGCUCCCCCCACCAUCUCACCUGCUCACUGCAGCACCUGCCCAGCUCCCCCCACCAUCUCACCUGCUCACUGCAGCACCUGCCCAGCUCCCCCCAC